UAGGGAAUCUUCGGCAAUGGACGGAAGUCUGACCGAGCAACGCCGCGUGAGUGAAGAAGGUUUUCGGAUCGUAAAGCUCUGUUGUAAGAGAAGAACGAGUGUGAGAGUGGAAAGUUCACACUGUGACGGUAUCUUACCAGAAAGGGACGGCUAACUACGUGCCAGCAGCCGCGGUAAUACGUAGGUCCCGAGCGUUGUCCGGAUUUAUUGGGCGUAAAGCGAGCGCAGGCGGUUUGAUAAGUCUGAAGUUAAAGGCUGUGGCUCAACCAUAGUUCGCUUUGGAAACUGUCAAACUUGAGUGCAGAAGGGGAGAGUGGAAUUCCAUGUGUAGCGGUGAAAUGCGUAGAUAUAUGGAGGAACACCGGUGGCGGAAGCGGCUCUCUGGUCUGUAACUGACGCUGAGGCUCGAAAGCGUGGGGAGCGAACAGGAUUAGAUACCCUGGUAGUCCACGCCGUAAACGAUGAGUGCUAGGUGUUGGGUCCUUUCCGGGAUUCAGUGCCGCAGCUAACGCAUUAAGCACUCCGCCUGGGGAGUACGACCGCAAGGUUG
rnacentral:rRNA from 1 species